GUGAACAAUGUGACGUGUAAUAAACUGUAAAGAAUUUAAAUCAAAACAAACUAUUUAUGGAAGGUUUAACUGUUAGAUCAGUUUGUUGUAAAAACUAUUGUUUAUGGAAGGUUUAACUGUUAGAUCAGUUUGUUGUAAAAACUAUUGUUUAUGGAAGGUUUAACACUUAGACCAGGUUCUCAUAUAAAGAUUAAAAUGUUUUAACUUUGAAUCUUAGCGGUAAAAUAUUUCAUCAAGAAACCAUAAGAACUUAAUGCAAUGUUUUACUUGUUGCAGUAUCAGUAAGGGAGAACAGGGUGGUUUAUUGUAUGUGCUAGAUUUUAACCAGGUUGUUGCCAAAUUACUGUAUAUGCACAUUGAAAGGAGAUCGUUUGUAAAUUUUACGUAUAAAACUGUCUCAGUCUAACGGGUAUACUCUUGGUUUACUUCUGGAUUCAUCAUGGUUGAUCAAUAUAUCACAGCAUUACUUAUGACAUGUAAAUUUUACGUAUAAAACUGUCUCAGUCUAACGGGUAUACUCUUGGUUUACUUCUGGAUUCAUCAUGGUUGAUCAAUAUAUCACAGCAUUACUUAUGACAUGUAAAUUUUACGUAUAAAACUGUCUCAGUCUAACGGGUAUACUCUUGGUUUACUUCUGGAUUCAUCAUGGUUGAUCAAUAUAU